UGAGCCAAGUUUAGGGUUUUCUCAAAACCCAAGCAGUAUUGAACUGAAGAGUUUGAUCAUGGCUCAGAUUGAACGCUGGCGGCAGGCCUAACACAUGCAAGUCGAGCGGAUGAAGGGAGCUUGCUC
rnacentral:rRNA from 1 species